GGAGAAAGGAGGCUAAUUUCUAUUCUGAAAAGGCCCCUAGGCCGGCGUCUCGAUACCACCCGCUUUCGUCAACUAUUAUGCCCAGACCCCUCCUGUGAGGUGUGUAAUAGCACAACUGCUGAGAUCAAUCAGCUCCUGGAGGACCUGGAAGAUGAUACCGCCUCUGUGUCCUCUAUGGCUUCCACAGCUUCUGGGACUGAAUCAUCAUUCACUCUGUCCUCUGCCUUCUCAGAAGUCCCUCCAGGAGACCUAACACCAGCCCCUCCACCUGACCCUUCCCCACCGCCCCACUC